rnacentral:rRNA from 1 species
AUCACUAAGCGGAGGAAAAGAAACUAACAAGUAUUCCCUCAGUAACGGCGAGUGAAGCGGGAAAUGCCCAGCACCGAAUCCCCCAGCCUUGGUUGGCGGGAGUUGUGGUGUGUGGGACGCCAACUGCCGUCCGUACCCCGUGCCGAAGUCCUCCUGAUCGGGGCCUCUCCCAGAGCGGGUGUCAGGCCUUUGCUGGCAUAGGGUCGGUCGGCUGCGAGCGUCUCUAGAGUCGGGUUGUUUGGGAAUGCAGCCCAAAGUGGGUGGUAAACUCCAUCUAAGGCUAAAUACUGGCACGAGUCCGAUAGCGGACAAGUACCGUGAGGGAAAGUUGAAAA